CCGGCACGGUGAGUAACACGUAUGCAAUCCACCUGUAACAGGGGAGUAACCCGGAGAAAUCCGACUAAUACCCAUAAUAUGGGCGCUCCGCAUGGAGAGCCCAUUAAAGAGAGCAAUUUUGGUUACAGACGAGCAUGCGCUCCAUUAGCCAGUUGGCGGGGUAACGGCCCACCAAAGCGACGAUGGAUAGGGGUUCUGAGAGGAAGGUCCCCCACAUUGGAACUGAGACACGGUCCAA
rnacentral:rRNA from 1 species